rnacentral:rRNA from 1 species
UACGUAGGGUGCGAGCGUUAAUCGGAAUUACUGGGCGUAAAGCGUGCGCAGGCGGUUCGUUAAGUUCGAUGUGAAAGCCCCGGGCUCAACCUGGGAACUGCAUUGGAAACUGGCGGGCUUGAGUGUGGCAGAGGGGGGUGGAAUUCCACGUGUAGCAGUGAAAUGCGUAGAUAUCAGGAGGAACACCGGUGGCGAAGGCGCCUAUCUGGCCCGAUACUGACGCUGAGGCGCGAAAGCUAGGGGAGCAAACGGG